rnacentral:lncRNA from 1 species
UUUGGAUUUACCUUUAUACUUAUAAAAAGUGUUAUGUAUAGCUUAGUGACUUUUUACUUGUUCAGAGUUUAAAGUUUUCUGAGUGACUAUACAGGCACAAGCACAGACACACCUUGUGAUAUCAUUCAACUGAGCAUGAUGUCCUGAAGAAAUCAAUGUUAAUUACUAGUUAUCCUUUUACUAUUACCCCUUGUCUUGCUUUUCAACUCCCUAUUAGCUAUUUUUGUUUUAUUCAGUCAGAUAAAAGAUUAUACUCUUUAUUAGAAAAAAAGAGGAAAAUAAACAUUGAAAAAUUCUGAUUCUUUUUGUCCCUUUCAUCCAAAACAAAUAUAGUUUCCAUUCUUCUAUCUUCCCUCUUUUCCUAUUAACCAAAACAAUAUGGAUGUACAUGCAUUUAACACUUACAAUUUCAUUUUAAGUCAUGUUUAGCUUUCCUUAACUAACUUCGUUCAUUUUGAGUGUUAGAAUUCCUCAAAUUUACUUCACAUGUCCAUUCUAUGAUUUUGCUUUAUCUGAAUUUGAUUCUAUCACCCUUGAAUGUUUUGAUAUCCAAAUUAAUCAAUUCAAUUUUGUCACCCUCAUACCUGUAUUAUGUGUACAACUUCAUAACCCCAGAAUUGGCACUUUUCCCCCAAGACAGAGUCCAGAAUAUGUAGACUACCUCAAAUAUAUAAAAACAUAAAAAGUUAUAAGACCUAGUAAAAUAGAAAAAUGUUAAUUUUAUGUUUCUCUUUCUUUCUAGAUCUUCAACCAGAAAACAGAAAACAGCAAUGGAAAAGAAUAGAUUUGAUAUUCCCAAAUAAUUCUGAGAGAGGGACUGCUGUGGAGUUAACUGCCAGCCCUGAGGAGGAGUUUGGGAGCAGUGACAGAGUUCACAGCUUCUGGACUUUGGUCUCCCUCAAUCCUGCCUGUGAUUCUCUGUGUACAACUGUGCUUGAUUCCUGGAAUUUUCUGAAAUAUUCCCACUAGCCAGUUCGUGAUCUAGUAUAAUUCUGUGUAUAUAAUAUAAUAUAUUCUGGGAGACUUUGCGAAAGAAAGCUAGAUUGUCUUGACAUGAACUUAUUACACUCCUCCACAGGCACUGAAAUGUAUCCUUGGUGAUCUGGUCAUUUUGGUCACCAACCCUGAUCCAGCCAACUUGAUCUGUUACCUUACAACAAACUGUUUUGGAGAGGCUAUAGAAGAGGGAAGCUAGGAGGUGGGGUCAAGAUGGCAGCAUAGAAGCAGCAAAAGUUCAGACCUCUGAAAACCCUUCCUUACCAAUGACAAACUAAAUGCUCCAAUGGGACUGAAAAUCAAACCUAACAACAAGACAGAGUCAAGGAACCCUCUGUGAGAUUUAAAAUGGUUGAGGUCUUAAACUGUAGUGAGUUAAAUGUGAAAGAUAUAAAUUGUGAUAGAUAUAAGAGAGGGUGAGUAAAUAUGACCACAGAAAUAUGUUUCACUACAGUGUCU